AUUGAACGCUGGCGGCAGGCCUAACACAUGCAAGUCGAACGAGUGGCGGACGGGUGAGUAAUGUCUGGGAAACUGCCUGAUGGAGGGGGAUAACUACUGGAAACGGUAGCUAAUACCGCAUACCAUCGGAUGUGCCCCGAUGGGUUUAGCUAGUAGGUGGGGUAACGGCUCACCUAGGCGCCGAGCCCUAGCUGGGCUGAGAGGAUGACCGUCCACACUGGAACUGAGACACGGUCCAGACUCCUACGGGAGGCAGCAGUGGGGAAUAUUGCACAAUGGGCGCAAGCCUGAUGCAGCCAUGCCGCGUGUAUGAAGAAGGCCUUCGGUUUGUAAAGUACUUUCAUCGGGGAGGCUUUACCCUCAGAAGAAGCACCGGCUAACUCCGUGCCAGCAGCCGCGGUAAUUC
rnacentral:rRNA from 1 species